rnacentral:lncRNA from 9 species
UUUUUUUUUUUUUUGUAGAACAGAAACAAUCUCACAGAUAGAGAACAAUCUUACAGUCACCAAAGGGGACAGGUGGGGGGCAGGAUGGACAGGGGGGUGUGGGGUUGGCAGGUGCACCCUGAGGUCUAUGGAAUGACGGGCCAAUGGGGACCUGCUGUCCAGCACAGGGAAUUCUAUUCAAUACUAAUAACUUACAUGGGAAAAAAGAAUGGAUAUAUGUAUACAUAUGUCUAUAUAUACAUAACUGAUUCACUUUGCCGUACACACAAUAUUCUAAGCCAGCUCUACUCCAAUAAAGUUUUUUUUUUUUUAAAUAAAGAUUUAAACCACAGCUCUGCCAUUGGGUCUAGAGUAAAUGAGUUAAUAACCUCUUUACACCUGUUUCUUCUUCCUCAUAAAAUGGAGCUAACGUCUGUCACCAAUAUUUGUUGUGAGAUUUUAAAUAAAGCAUCAGGAGGAAGAGACCCAUGGAUUGUGCCUGGAGGAGCUUGCGGUGGGUGGUGUCGGGGCGGGGGGGUCAGAAGCGGCCAAGAGAUUUCGAGAGGAUGGUGGAGAGUGAGAGCCGAGCCCACCUGGGCAGCCGAGGGAGGUGGUUCUGUACAGGAAGCCUGCACAGGCAUCUCUGGGAUCCUCCAGCAAACACAGUACAAUGAAUACAAUACAACAGUAUCCAUCAAUACAAUGGAACACAAGGGCCCCCCAAACUCCUUAAACAAAGCUCUAGCUAGGUAGUGACACACACCACGCUCUGAACGUGUCAGCUCCUGAGAGAUGAAGAAACCAAAAGCUAUGACCUUGAGAAUGGAUAAGCCAUGCAGUCCUGCUGUGCAGCACAGGGAACUCGAUCCAGUCUUUUGAGCGUUUUUAAAGAAGAAAAAAGGAAAAGAGAGAGAAAAUCUUCAUUUGGAAACUGGACCUUCUAUCUCCUACUGUCCACUGCCAUGGUCCCACAUGGUGGCAGCUUUUUUAAACUGAGACAAACAAUUCAAGAUGUGAGACGAAACGGAGUGAGCGAGUGAAGCAAAAGCUAUGACUGAGCAAAAGCUUUUGGGAGGCAUCUAGAGGAUGAUAAAAGUUCAGCCAAAAUCCAACAGCCCCAGACAGAAAGAGGGAGAAAGAGGAGUUCCUGUUGGGGCUCAGUGGUACAAUGAACCCGACUAGUGUCCAUGAGGAGGCGGGUUCGAUCCCUGGCCUCGCUCUGUGGGUUAAGGAUCCGGCGUUGCCAUGGCUGAGGCGUAGGUCUUCAGCUGCAUCUCUGAUUCGACCUCUAGCCUGGGAACUUCCAUAUGCUGUGGGUGAGGCCCUAAAAGGGAAGGAAGAAAGAUAGAAAGGCAGAAAGAAUGAAAGAAGAGAAAAAAUGGAAGAGGAGGAGAGAGAUUGGCACAGCUCACAGCUGGAAACUUCCCUUGAAUUGAAGACACACGUAAAAGGCUGGAUGAAGUAACUCAAGGGGAAUCCAACCACCCUUUCCGUCCCACACGGCUCAUCUCAUCAACCCCUCAAUAGGAGGUCGUCGAGCAAACACAGCCACAGGUUGUCCAGCAAACACAGCCACAGGCAAUGUUUGUAAAGAUAAAUUACUAUGUAUAAAAUAAACCACAAGGACCUACUGUCCAGCACAGGGAACUCUAUUCAAUAUCCUGUAAUAACCUACCAUGGGAAAAAAAAUCAGAAAAAGAAUAUAUGUGUGUGAGUGUGUGUGUAACUAAAUCACUCUGCUGAAACUAACCCAGCCUUGUAAAUCAACUCUACGUCCAUGAAAAAUAUUAUUAAAAUCAAAAGAAGAAGCUGGCAUCAUGAAAGGAAGGGUGUCUGUCGUAUCACGUUCUGCUCUGAGAUGUUCAGAAGUGGGGUAGGGGGUGGCACGUCCUGUCGUGUGGGUCCUCCUGGGGUACGGAGAGCCUGGAACAGGUCCCCCACCGCGUGACCGUCACCAUCGCAAAAUCCAAAUGGUGCCCUGAAGAGGGGCUCUGGACCCAAAGAAUGAAUGGCUCCGGAGAGAGGCAGGAAGGACUCCGGGAGACAGGAAGGCGCCUUGAUCUUGGUCGCUCCUUCGGACGGAGGCAAGCGAGCAGGGAGACCUCACGAGCCCAUCAUUGUCCAAGCAGGAUCUCCCGAAGCAUCACCGCAACCUCGGGGGGCUUCCCGGGAGAUACGCGAUUCUUCAGGAACGUUCCCCCAGGGCUGGACUCUUGGAAACUGACCGUGAGACCCUUGGACCGUGAGCUGGCAUUCCUUUGGCGUGAUAGGCUAAGGGGAGCUGGGCUGUUUUCUCUUUCUUGCAGAACCUGGGACCGGCUCAUGCACGGUCAGAUUUACGACUAAUUCUUAGACAUUUCUUCUGAAUAGAUUCUAGAGGGUGCAGUAUUUUAUCUGACACCUUGAAGGGAACAGCAACAGCAACAGCAACAACAAAAAAUGCAAUAUGUAAGUUGGUGAAAAGAAAAAAAAAAAGCCAUCUUGGAAGGCUAAAGCUCAAACCCAGCAUCUGAUGAGUAAUUCAGCUGGAACAGAGCCGUCGGGCAGGAAAUUAGGGAUAUUCUGAGAUAAUCUGAGUGUAAUUAAUGAUCCACGCUUGGCUUUUGUGGAUGUUGGGUUGUCUUGAAAGAAAGGAGAGAGCUUUGUCUCAAACAUCUAGAUAAUUACCGCUGAUCUGUGCUUGCCUUGUGUGAUUCUGAUUGUGGAUGAUAAAAAAUGUUGACGUUCUCCAUAUGAGUUAUUAUGCAGACUUUAGUUUCCAGAAACCUCAGAUCUUUAAAAAAAAAAAAAAAAAAAAAAAAAAAGAUAGCUGUGGGGUUCAUUUGAGGGUGAAUUAAAUUUUUUUUUUUUUUUUUUUGCUUGAACCAGAACUCAGGCUAUGCCGGCUGUGGAUGUGUUCUAUUCCUUAAGCGGUACUUCACGGGGUCAGAUUUUGUUCUCCGCCAACUUGUUUGGGAUAUUUAAGAAAGGUGAUGUCCAUUCCAGAAGGCUGGAGGGAAAACAGCCUGUGUCUUCCCUGUAAAUACAACUGGGAGGGUUGGUUCGAGCUUUCUUUUUCUGCAGCAAACAUAGGUCUGAUGGUGCCUCUCCCCUGAGAUCAUACUCACCAAAGACACAGGAUGCCCAAGGUCAAGACGCCAAAGCUUGUUGACCUGGUCCCUUUCUCCUGCCUUCAGGAUAACAACUCCUCUGCCACAGGACCCAGCAAUCCCCUGCAUGGGCAUCUAUCCAGAGAAAACCAUAAUUCAAAAAGAUACAGGUAUCCCCAUGGUCACAGCAGCCCUAUUCACAACAGCCAAAAACAUGGACACAACCUAAAUGUCCAUCGACAGAGGACUGGAUCAAGAAGAUGUGGUCCACAGAGACAACGGAACAUUCCUCAGCCAUAAAAAGGAAUGAGAUGAUGCCACCUGCAGCCACCCGGAUGGACCUAGAGAUGAUGAUACUGAGUGAGGUAAGUCAGACAGAGAAAGACAUACAUCAUCUGAUACCCAUUCUACGUGGAAUCUGAAAUACGGGCACAGAUGAACCCAUCUGCAGAAUAGAAACAGACUCCGAGGCAGAGCCCAGAUGUGUGGCUGCCAACGGGGAGGGGGAGGGCAUGGGGUGGACGGGGAGUUUGGGGUUGGCAGGUGCAACCUUGUAUAUCACAGGAUGGACAAACCCCACAGACCCGUGUACAGCACAGGGAACUCUCUUCGGUCUCCUGCGAUAAACCAUCACGGAAUCGGAUACGAAAAAGAAUGGGUCUAAAUACCUGCUGCAGGGCAGAAAUGAACACAACGACCUCAACCACACUUUUCAAACGUCUGAACAAGACAGCGGACUGACAGUUUCAGACUCCGCCGGGAAAGGCAGCGGGGCGGUCAGGACAGAUUCUGAGCCGUCUUCCUUUGCCAGCGCGUGGAAGGGCUGCUUCUUCGUUUGUCCCCGGGACUUGUGCGGUAUGUGUGCAUGUGUGUGUGUGAGAGACAGAGAGAGGGAAGUGGCGGAGACAGAGGGAGAGAGACAGACAGACAGAGACAGAGACAGAGAUGCGGAGAACACCUCAUGAACUGCUUGCUCGAACUCCAGCUUGUUGGACGAGGGACUGCGGGCAGGUCUCCCUCCGAAGGUCUCUACCUCUCUGGCCUCCCUUCUCCGCCCGGCUCGUGUCCCUCACCACCGACUUCAGAUCCAACCUCCAGGGAGCCCUGGCUUCAGGAGGGGCCAGGAAACGGGGACUCGCCGUGUCCCCACCUGUGCCCCCAAGUGACCAGGGUCCUAUGCAUCCCCCCAGGCUCACAGCAUCCCUUCACUCCCUCAAACUCACCCCACAACCCCGUUGCUCAAAAGCUGCCAGCAACUCGCUUUUCCUCCUGGCGCCUUCAGCAUCCACAGCAUCCCGGAGAAAGUGUGGCAGCCUCCCGUGUGGUCCAUGCUGCAGUCAGCCCCGUGGUGACAUCUCCUCCCCUGGACCACCCAGGAGCAACGUGCCUUCCGCAGCCUCAGACCAGUAUCUGCCUAAACCCCUUCCUUCCUCGGGGAGCUGGGGCUUACCACUCAAUUCAGGGUUCACAUCUGGCUGCUUUUCCCAGCCUCACACUCCAUCAUCGCACAAAAAGUUCUGUGGGUCAGUGUUCCCCACGGAGAAAUCCAGGAAAGACAAAAAAAAAAGCCUGACUUCUAGAACUUGGCAAAUGUUCCUCGGGGCUCCCAACUUUGUCAUUCGGCCCCAGCUUCAGAGUGGAGGAAGGCUGUUGUCGCCCUUCGCAGAGGAAGCGUCACUGUCCUUGGAUUCCGUGCAGAUCAGGAACCAGCCUCUGGAUGGAGGCUUGCACGCAAAACACGAGACCCUUACAAAGGCGCGGCUUUGCCAAAAAGCCCAGCUCCGCCUGAUGGCCCGUGGUCACAGGAAACUUACGUGGGUUCCCAAACAGGCUGUUGAGUUUUUUCACGGCUCAUUUUCUGAUCACAGGUGAAGAACAGACAACAUAAAGCAGAGGCUGGGAGGCACACAUCUGGAGAGGUGACAGAGCGGGUGCCUUGCGCUUUUCACGGCACAGGAACCUGCUCUACAAGGAUCCCUGACGGGCAUGGAGGGCACAUUCUCCAGGAAGCUGGAAACGGGCUCAUUUUCUCAUGCCCUCUGGGCUCAGCCUACACCAAGGGGGUGGUGCUCUGGGGAGAAAAAGGAGGUCUCUCUCUCCUUUUAUUACCCUACGAACUUCACCCCAAAAGGGCUCGCACACAGAUGUCUGAUCCUCCCAGGGUCCACUCACAGUCAUCUGCUCCCGGUUUGACCACAGGGCACCAAUAAAUGGAUAAUGACAUAAUUCCAUCCUGGGUUAAAUUAUAGAAAUGUGUACUCACCUCACAUAAUUAUAGGCUCAUGCCAGCAGCUUCAUCUCAACGAGAGAGGCAGAGUGGGUAUAAAACCGAAAUCACCAUGGAAGAUGUUUAGAAUGUGGUCAGGGCUUGGUGACAGUCAGAU